UGCCCAUGGUGCCCGUCUCAGUGAGG
rnacentral:piRNA from 2 species